rnacentral:rRNA from 1 species
AGAUUGAACGCUGGCGGCAUGCCUAACACAUGCAAGUCGAACGGCAGCGCGGGUAGCAAUACCUGGCGGCGAGUGGCGGACGGGUGAGGAAUACAUAGGAAUCUACCCUGUCGUGGGGGAUAACGUAGGGAAACUUACGCUAAUACCGCAUACGACCGAGAGGUGAAAGCGGCGGACCGCAAGGCGUCGCGCGGCUGGAUGAGCCUAUGUCCGAUUAACUAGUUGGCGGGGUAAGAGCCCACCAAGGCGACGAUCGGUAGCUGGUCUGAGAGGAUGAUCAGCCACACUGGGACUGAGACACGGCCCAGACUCCGUACGGGAGCAGCAGGUGGGAAUAGUGGACAAGUGGGCGCAAGCCUAGAUCCAGCAAUGCCGCGUGUGUAGAAGAACGGUCCGUUAGGUUAGUAA